rnacentral:rRNA from 1 species
GACGAACGCUGGCGGCGUGCUUAACACAUGCAAGUCGAACGGAAAGGCCCUGCUUUUGUGGGGUGCUCGAGUGGCGAACGGGUGAGUAACACGUGAGUAACCUGCCCUUGACUUUGGGAUAACUUCAGGAAACUGGGGCUAAUACCGGAUAGGAGCUCCUGCUGCAUGGUGGGGGUGGGAAAGUUUCGGCGGUUGGGGAUGGACUCGCGGCUUAUCAGCUUGUUGGUGGGGUAGUGGCUUACCAAGGCUUUGACGGGUAGCCGGCCUGAGAGGGUGACCGGCCACAUUGGGACUGAGAUACGGCCCAGACUACUACGGGAGGCAGCAGUGGGGAAUAUUGCACAAUGGGCGGAAGCCUGAUGCAGCAACGCCGCGUGCGGGAUGACGGCCUUCGGGUUGUAAACCGCUUUCGCCUGUGACGAAGCGUGAGUGACGGUAAUGGGUAAAGAAGCACCGGCUAACUACG